rnacentral:lncRNA from 1 species
GCAGCCCCAUGCUUGAGAAUAUGGGGAAAUCGAAGCUCGACUGCGCUCGAGAUGGUUCCACUGGAGGAAUGAUCGGUGCAGUCAUUGAUUGCUCGACCGCGACUUCCACCACAGUCUGAACUUCAGCUGGUGGAGCUGUCGAUGGCACUGCUGCAGCUCCAUCUUCUUCUGCUACCCCAGCUUCAACAGACGGCACCUUAGGAAGCAUUGUCGGAGCC